UACGGGGGGUGCGAGCGUUGUCCGGAAUCACUGGGCGUAAAGGGCUCGUAGGCGGUCUGUCGCGUCGGGAGUGAAAACUCAGGGCUUAACCCUGAGCCUGCUUCCGAUACGGGCAGACUAGAGGUAUGCAGGGGAGAACGGAAUUCCUGGUGUAGCGGUGAAAUGCGCAGAUAUCAGGAGGAACACCGAUGGCGAAGGCAGGUCACUGGGCCGCAACUGACGCUGAGACGCGAAAGCGUGGGGAGCAAACAGG
rnacentral:rRNA from 1 species